rnacentral:rRNA from 1 species
GACAGAGGGUGCAAACGUUGUUCGGAUUUACUGGGCGUAAAGCGCGUGUAGGCGGCUUGGCAAGUCGGAUGUGAAAGCCCACGGCUCAACCGUGGAAGCGCAUCCGAAACUGCUUCGCUCGAGUCUCGGAGAGGAAGGUGGAAUGCUUGGUGUAGAGGUGAAAUUCGUAGAUAUCAAGCAGAACACCUGCGGCGAAGGCGGCCUUCUGGACGAUGACCGACGCUGAGACGCGAAAGCGUGGGGAGCAAACAGG